CCUACGGGAGGCAGCAGUUUGGAAUUUUGGACAAUGGGCGAAAGCCUGAUCCAGCGACGCCGCGUGGACGAUGAAGGCCUUCGGGUCGUAAAGUCCUUUUGCUCGGGAACAAUAUUUUGAGCGUACCGAGAGAAUAAGAGGUUGCUAACUCUGUGCCAGCAGCAGCGGUAAUACAGAGACCUCAAGCGUUAUCCGGAAUCAUUGGGCGUAAAGCGUACCGAUAGGUGGUUUUACAAGUCAGAAGUGAAAUCUCUCAGCUUAACUGGGAGACUGUCUUUUGAAACUGUAAAACUAGAGGGGCAAAGAGGAAGCUGGAACAAACGGUGUAGUAGUGAAAUGCGUUGAUAUCGUUUGGAACACCAAUAGCGUAGGCAGGCUUCUGGGUGCCACCUGACACUGCUAGGACGAAAGCGUGGGGAGCGAAUGGGAUUAGAUAAAUCCCGUCACCGCCUCUCGAUACAAUCGAGAGAAUAAAUAAUAGUGACGAAGGGUGUCCCUCUCAACAGUAAUGUUGGGAUGCGCNCUGUNUAUAUNUGUGACACUCACUAACAAUACGAGAUACUACUGUCGUCGUUAGUGAGAGUACGA
rnacentral:rRNA from 1 species